rnacentral:miRNA from 1 species
ACAGGAAUCACCUGGGGAUCUUGUUAAACUGCAGAUUCUGGUUCAGUAGCUGGGAGUGAGGUCUGUAUUUCUGACAAGCUCCCAGGUAAGACUUAG